CAGCAGCCGCGGUAAUACGUAGGGUGCAAGCGUUAAUCGGAAUUACUGGGCGUAAAGCGUGCGCAGGCGGUUUUGUAAGACAGUGGUGAAAUCCCCGGGCUCAACCUGGGAACUGCCAUUGUGACUGCAAGGCUAGAGUGCGGCAGAGGGGGAUGGAAUUCCGCGUGUAGCAGUGAAAUGCGUAGAUAUGCGGAGGAACACCGAUGGCGAAGGCAAUCCCCUGGGCCUGCACUGACGCUCAUGCACGAAAGCGUGGGGAGCAAACAGGAUUAGAUACCCUGGUAGUCAAGGGCG
rnacentral:rRNA from 1 species